rnacentral:rRNA from 1 species
CAAACUGGGAUUAGAUACCCCACUAUGCUUAGCCGUAAACAAAGAUAUUUCCUAACAAAAAUUUCGCCUGAGAACUACUAGCAAUAGCUUAAAACUCAAAGGACUUGGCGGUGCUUUAAACCCACCUAGAGGAGCCUGUUCUAUAAUCGAUAAACCCCGAUAAACCUUACCACUUCUAGCUAAACCAGUCUAUAUACCGCCAUCUUCAGCAAACCCUACUAAGGAAAAAAAGUAAGCACAAUGAUAAUCAUAAAAACGUUAGGUCAAGGUGUAACCAAUGAAGUGGGAAGAAAUGGGCUACAUUUUCUCCAAUCAAGAGAAUAUUUAACAGUAAUCUUUAUGAAAACUAAAGAUCUUAAGGAGGAUUUAGUAGUAAAUUAAGAAUAGAGAGCUUAAUUG